UGAGGUGGAAGACAAAUCGCUCACACCGAGUAUGAGUAAAAGUGAACGCAGCAACGAGAGGAAGGCUAACGGCCUGAAUGCGGGCUAAAGUAAAUCUUGUCAAACAUGAUGAAACGCCUAGCGCCGAGGCAGGAGCUCAAGUUCACACGUGGCCAAAGCCCGGGUCCCUCGCCGCAGUCCCUCGCUCGCUCGCGUCGUGCGCCUGCGCGGAGGGGACGGCGGGCCUGGCGACCGGCCGACUGGGGCGCUGGGGAAGCCGGACUCUCCGACACUUCGCUGCAGCUCUGGGGACCCCGGGCUCCUCCUCCGUAAAACGGGGCUGACGGAACUGGCUCAGCUUGCCCUCCGGAGUUGUUGGGAGGAUCGGAAGAGUUCCAAGAGAAAAUUUCCUAAACGGAAAUGAAUCCUACACCUGAAUGGUAUUCAGUACAGGUAUUUCCGCGGAGCCCAGGUACCCCCCCUCCCCCAAUGGAAGCACACUGAGGGUCGCUCAGAGCUCCUUCCCCUGGGGCCUCUUCCUUGUCUGCUCUCAGGAGCACCUGGCCCCCUUCCUGGUGACCUUGGUUGGGCCCAGGCUCCCUGGUGGCCACGGUGGUGGCAGGAACGCCACCACAGGGUGCCCUUUUCUCUCCUUCCUCUCUAGUCUUAGAGCCCUGCCCUAUAACCGCAAAAUACAGAGCCUCUAGACUCCUGCUCCCCCACAUACUUCCUCCUGCUCCAGUUCCUCCUCUCCCUGCUUUCCCAAAAAGGGCAGUGCUCAUGGAAGCCCAACGGGUUGCAGGGGACGAGCUCCAUCGCCCCCAUCCUUGAGUGCGACAGAAUGGUGCCCCUGUCUCCUGCCAGUGCUUGCCUUUGCCAGGACACAGCAAGGAGAGUACUGGGGAUGGUCCUGUGAUGCUCUAGAGAAGUGCCUCCCACCCACAGGGAACUUUCACGGCCCUCUGGGAGAUUCCUGAGGGGCACAGAGGUAGCUAGGGGGUUCUGUAGGGUCGCGGAGGGGGCUGUAGCUGGCUGCCAUAUCCUCCCUACCCGCUCCACUUGCAGCACCCCUGCCACCACAUUGCCACCUGGCCCUACCCUGGGAAGACUCUCCCCAGUCCCUGGCCUCCUGUGGGCCCCAGUGGUCUUGAGACCUGCCCAUCAGUGUGGGGAUGCACACCCAGCUUGCUCCAGGUGUGGCUGCCUGCCCGUGACCGCAGCAAAGCCAAGUGGACAGUAGGAAGGACAGAGUGAAAAUCAAGUCUCCAGUGAACGCCCACAGGGGCAGAGGUCUCCCUACUCCUAGAGUUGGCUGUGCCCCAGAUGAACCAGAGACUUCGUCUUGCCUGCUCUCCCAGGGCAGCCUCCAGGAAGGUGAGGUGAGAGGUGACUCCAGGUAAGCACUCAACCUCGUGCACAUUGGAGUCACCUGGAGACCUUGUUAGAAACACUGACGGCCCCAUGCCCUUGAGCAAUUGAUUUGGAUGUGGCUGAGCAAGGGGCCUUGGAAUGUGUGGCUUUGUAUACUUCCCUGCCUGCUUAGAAUGACCUAGAACUGCCAUUCUAGGUUCUCAAACAAGGGAGACGAGAAGAAGGGGGCAUCACUGAACGGGGGUACCCCAAAUUCGAGCUAGUGUCCCAUCACUCCUUUUCUUUACCCUCCUCAGACCAUCUGUUCCCCUUCUUGAAUUUCUGGGUCCUGCUCGGGGUACCUCUAAAAAUGGCAUAAGAGAGGAGUGCUGGGCUGGUCAAGGCUCUAACUUUGUACAAACCCACUGCCCUGCCCGUAGUCUCGGUGCCCCAAGAAGAAUAUACCUUCCCCACCCCCACUGUGUCUUCAGCUCAGAUUAGAACCGCAGAGCCUGCAGCUUGCUCAGGGCCACUCUAAAGAUACCCCUUCUGUUCCAAAGGGUCCCUCACUGAUGGAGAGGAGUGGCAAGAAGAGUCGGCUGGCCGGGCCAGAGAACUGAGGCUGUGAUAUGACGACUUGUUUGUGCCGAGAUGCCAACUACAACUCAGCACUUCUAGCUGGAGACUGAGACGUUCUCCUUCUAGAACAUAAGCUCCACCCGGACAGGAAUCAGGUCUGUCUCCUUCACUGCCAUAUCACUAGCACUUAGCACGCACGACAGGCAUGCCGUGGAUGUCUGAGGAAGGGAGAACGAGACGAAGUGAGGGGACAGGACGCAUCAAGGAGUUCUCCAUAUCAAGAGGGCCAGGCACAAGACCUGCUGAAGAGGUUCUGAUGACGGAACCUUGGUGUGGAGGAAAGGGGAAGGGGGUCAGCCGGAAACAGGAACGGCUAGAGCCAAUUCCAAGCAUGCUGUCUCUCGCUUGCUUGAUGAAAGGAUUCAUGGUGGCUAAGCAGCAUCUACCCUGUGGACACAAGAUGGCAGCCCGAGAGCCAACUCUUCCAGUCCAAAGGGUGAUCACGUUUCCUUGAUCUUCUAGAGAAUUCCAGGCUAGUCCAUGGAGUGAUAACAGAGGCAGCAGCCUUUUCUCCACAUUUAGAAUGGCCAACUUGUCCUUACAGCCCUCCACUGAAGGCUUACCAGAUGCUCCCAGUCUCAGUCUCACCGUAAGCAUGUGACCUAGCGCUCACCCUUCCCAUGUGACAGACGAGGAGCCUGUCACAUGCGUGGGGAGCGGGGAUUAGCAUUCGGGCAACCUGGUUCCGAAGCUUACAGACUUAACCACUGCAUUUUUACGGAUUCCUUUCCCUGCUACUUUCUUCGUAAAAGAACUCCUGUAGUUCCAUCAACAAGGAUAAUAUCCUAGCUUUCUGUGCUCAGACCCAAACUGUGACUUGUUUAUAAAGCCAGCCCUGUGGCCGGUGCAAGGGAGCUUCUAGCUUGCAACAGUGAGUAGAGAUUCUUAAAAAAAAGAAAAAAAAAGCUAUUGUCGACAAUUGCCUAUAUGUUACUUUAUUUCUAAUUAUCGUCCCGUUGGAAACUUGUCCUUUUCUUCUCAUUCUGUGAAAACGGGAAAAGCCACAGAGUGUCAGCAACACAGUGGUCACCUCCCCUGCGUGGCUGGGGCUUCUCAUGAGCCACCUCCUGUAAGGAAAAUGAAGUCGACGAGGAUGAGGCCUUAGGAGAGAGUUUUCACAUUGCGAACAGCUCCCGGUGCAUCACUUACUUCUCCUUUCCAAAAAUAGGACUUUUAUUCAGAUCUUACUUUGUUCUCCUUCAAGGAGAAACUGCAUUUGAAUAAAAGCAUAAGUACCACC